rnacentral:rRNA from 1 species
CUCCUUUGACGUUAGCGGCGGACGGGUGAGUAACACGUGGGUAACCUACCUAUAAGACUGGGAUAACUUGGGAAACCGGAGCUAAUACCGGAUAAUAUUUCGAACCGCAUGGUUCGAUAGUGAAAGAUGGUUUUGCUAUCACUUAUAGAUGGACCCGCGCCGUAUUAGCUAGUUGGUAAGGUAACGGCUUACCAAGGCGACGAUACGUAGCCGACCUGAGAGGGUGAUCGGCCACACUGGAACUGAGACACGGUCCAGACUCCUACGGGAGGCAGCGGG